rnacentral:rRNA from 1 species
AUUGAACGCUGGCGGCAUGCUUUACACAUGCAAGUCGAACGGUAACAGGUUAAGCUGACGAGUGGCGAACGGGUGAGCAAUGCAUCGGAACGUGCCCGAUCGUGGGGGAUAACGCAACGAAAGCUGCGCUAAUACCGCAUACGAUCUGAGGAUGAAAGCGGGGGACCGUAAGGCCUCGCGCGAUCGGAGCGGCCGAUGUCAGAUUAGGUAGUUGGUGGGGUAAAGGCCCACCAAGCCGACGAUCUGUAGCUGGUCUGAGAGGACGACCAGCCACACUGGGACUGAGACACGGCCCAGACUCCUACGGGAGGCAGCAGUGGGGAAUUUUGGACAAUGGGCGAAAGCCUGAUCCAGCAAUGCCGCGUGCAGGAAGAAGGCCUUCGGGUUGUAAACUGCUUUUGUACGGAGCGAAAAGGUCCUUUCUAAUACAAGGGGCUCAUGACGGUACCGUAAGAAUAAGCACCGGCUAACUACGUGCCAGCCGCCGCCGUAA